AACGUAGGGGACAAGCGUUAUCCGGAUUUACUGGGCGUAAAGCGCCCGUAGGCGGCCUGACAAGUUGGACGUGAAAGCUCCUGGCUUAACUGGGAGAGGCCGUUCAAAACUGUCAAGCUAGAGUCUGGAAGAGGAGAGCGGAAUUCCCGGUGUAGUGGUGGAAUGCGUAGAGAUCGGGAGGAACACCAGUGGCGAAAGCGGCGCACUGGACCUUUUCUGACGCUGAGGCGCGAAAGCCAGGGGAGCAAACGGG
rnacentral:rRNA from 1 species